rnacentral:rRNA from 1 species
CAGGAUGAACGCUAGCUACAGGCUUAACACAUGCAAGUCGAGGGGCAUCAGGAAGAAAGCUUGCUUUCUUUGCUGGCGACCGGCGCACGGGUGAGUAACACGUAUCCAACCUGCCCUUUACUCGGGGAUAGCCUUUCGAAAGAAAGAUUCAUACCCGAUAGCAUAAUGAUUCCGCAUGGUUUCAUUAUUAAAGGAUUCCGGUAAAGGAUGGGGAUGCGUUCCAUUAGGUUGUUGGUGAGGUAACGGCCCACCAAGCCUUCGAUGGAUAGGGGUUCUGAGAGGAAGGUCCCCCACAUUGGAACUGAGACACGGUCCAAACUCCUACGGGAGGCAGCAGUGAGGAAUAUUGGUCAAUGGGCGCUAGCCUGAACCAGCCAAGUAGCGUGAAGGAUGAAGGCUCCAUGGGUCGUAAACUUCUUUUAUAUAAGAAUAAAGUGCAGUAUGUAUACUGUUUUGUAUGUAUUAUAUGAAUAAGGAUCGGCUAACUCCGUGCCAGCAGCCGCGGUAAUACGGAGGAUCCGAGCGUUAUCCGGAUUUAUUGGGUUUAAAGGGAGCGUAGGUGGACUGGUAAGUCAGUUGUGAAAGUUUGCGGCUCAACCGUAAAAUUGCAGUUGAUACUGUCAGUCUUGAGUACAGUAGAGGUGGGCGGAAUUCGUGGUGUAGCGGUGAAAUGCUUAGAUAUCACGAAGAACUCCGAUUGCGAAGGCAGCUCACUGGACUGCAACUGACACUGAUGCUCGAAAGUGUGGGUAUCAAACAGGAUUAGAUACCCUGGUAGUCCACACAGUAAACGAUGAAUACUCGCUGUUUGCGAUAUACAGUAAGCGGCCAAGCGAAAGCAUUAAGUAUUCCACCUGGGGAGUACGCCGGCAACGGUGAAACUCAAAGGAAUUGACGGGGGCCCGCACAAGCGGAGGAACAUGUGGUUUAAUUCGAUGAUACGCGAGGAACCUUACCCGGGCUUAAAUUGCAGUGGAAUGAUGUGGAAACAUGUCAGUGAGCAAUCACCGCUGUGAAGGUGCUGCAUGGUUGUCGUCAGCUCGUGCCGUGAGGUGUCGGCUUAAGUGCCAUAACGAGCGCAACCCUUAUCUUUAGUUACUAACAGGUCAUGCUGAGGACUCUAGAGAGACUGCCGUCGUAAGAUGUGAGGAAGGUGGGGAUGACGUCAAAUCAGCACGGCCCUUACGUCCGGGGCUACACACGUGUUACAAUGGGGGGUACAGAAGGCAGCUAGCGGGUGACCGUAUGCUAAUCCCAAAAUCCUCUCUCAGUUCGGAUCGAAGUCUGCAACCCGACUUCGUGAAGCUGGAUUCGCUAGUAAUCGCGCAUCAGCCACGGCGCGGUGAAUACGUUCCCGGGCCUUGUACACACCGCCCGUCAAGCCAUGGGAGCCGGGGGUACCUGAAGUACGUAACCGCAAGGAUCGUCCUAGGGUAAAACUGGUGACUGGGGCUAA